rnacentral:rRNA from 1 species
UUUAAAUUGAGAGUUUGAUCCUGGCUCAGGACGAACGCUGGCGGCGUGCCUAACACAUGCAAGUCGAGCGGAGAAUGCGGAUAUGUUUAC